rnacentral:lncRNA from 1 species
CUGGGAGACUGGGCCGAUGCAGAGUUUAGGGGCCCUGGAUAGAGACUGAGAAGCAGGGGGGAGGCGGGGCGGGUUAGUGGUGUAGGGCUAGGGUCUGUGGUUAGGGAGGGGGCCCCACAUUCAGGAGAGGACGGAGAGCGACGGUGGGGACUGCCCUGGGGACCAUGUCCACCACCCCGCCCCCUUACGCCCUUCCACUUCCAGUCUUGGCGGCGGAUGAGGCCAAGCUCGCGGACCCAGGUAAGCUGGUCAGAAUGCUGCAGUCGCCAAGCCCCGCGGGCACGUCCCAGUGACUCAGCCCUUGCCGGGAAGGGGGAGUCCGCCCCGCUCCCCAGAAUUUCCAUACAACAGACUGAUCCGGGCUGGCUCCCGGAGUUCCAGGCCGAGCCCCGCACCAGGCUGCGCGGCCGCGGGAGCCGGACCCCUUCCUCCCGGCCCGGGGGCCCCCCACUUCCGGCCGAAGCCACCUGGCCUCAUCGCGGGGACGCGGCCUCGGGUGGCGAAAGCCCUGGGGACCGCAGCGGUCCUGGCCUCGACGGCGCCGCGAGGACCUUUGAGCGUCGUCCCGGGCCGAUGUCCCAGGUGAGUGGCCAGCGCCCCCCUCACUGCGACGCGCCCCAUGGAGCCCCCAGCGCAGCCCCCGGCCCAGGUAGGACCGGGGAUGGAGAGCUAGACUGGACGAGAGCCGGGUAGGGGGUUGGGGGCGGUGGUCAUUCUCCCCCCUCCUCCCUGAGAAGCGGGGAGAGGGUUCGGGGAAGCUUGAGUGGAGGUGGAGGCGAGGAAUCUGGGUAUCGGGGACCGGGUCCAAGGAGAGUGGAGGGCUGAGGCGAUGGGGGUAGGGCCCGAACGGAGGCGGUGGCCGCGCCAAGUUGGCUCCAACACUCCCCACUCCCAACACCAGACACACACACGCAGUGUCUGUCUGUCCGUCUGGGAUUUGUGUCCCAGCCUUUUCUGCCCAGUGUGUAAAUAUUUAUGGGGGCCUCAGGCGGUGUGGGGGUGUCUGAGUCUUUCUCUCCUUCCCUUCCCCCAACCCAGCCAGAGCCUAGUGCUUCCAGAAAACUUUUGUCCGACAGGACCCGGCCCCUCCCCUCCUUGCCAUAUCGUCUCGCUCGUCUUCCUCCCCACCGGGGCCCGGCCAGUCCCCACCACCUCUACCCUGCAGGGACGACACACACACACACACACACACACACACACACACACACACACAUACACACACACACGUUUUAUCUCCUUCUCCGCCUCU